CACGUCGGGUGCGAGCGUUGUCCGGAAUUAUUGGGCGUAACGAGCUCGUAGGCGGUGUGUCGCGUCGGCCGUGAAAACCUGCAGCUUAACUGUGGGCGUGCGGUCGAUACGGGCAUCACUGGAGUUCGGCAGGGGAGACUGGAAUUCCUGGUGUAGCGGUGAAAUGCGCAGAUAUCAGGAGGAACACCGGUGGCGAAGGCGGCAUCCUGGACCGACAUUGACGCUGAGGAGCGAAAGCUAGGGGAGCAAACGGG
rnacentral:rRNA from 1 species